rnacentral:pre_miRNA from 1 species
UCGUAACUUGCGUGGCUUCGAAUGUACCGAUUUGGGGAGAAAUUCUUGUGUGAAUUUUGGGUCCUCUGGUAUUCGAGCCAACAAGUUCGU